CACUCUAAGGUGACUGCCGGCUAAAAGUCGGAGGAAGGUGGGGAUGACGUCAAAUCAUCAUGCCCCUUAUGACCUGGGCUACACACGUGCUACAAUGGGCGGUACAAAGGGUCGCGAACCCGCGAGGGGGAGCCAAUCCCAAAAAAGCCGCUCUCAGUUCGGAUUGCAGGCUGCAACUCGCCUGCAUGAAGCCGGAAUCGCUAGUAAUCGCGGAUCAGCAUGCCGCGGUGAAUACGUUCCCGGGCCUU
rnacentral:rRNA from 1 species